GAAAUGCGAUAAGUAAUGUGAAUUGCAGAAUUCAGUGAAUCAUCGAAUCUUUGAACGCACAUUGCGCCCGCCAGAAUUCUGGCGGGCAUGCCUGUUCGAGCGUCAUUUCAACCCUCGAGCUCCCCUUUCGGGGGGAGCCCGGCGUUGGGGACCCGGCGCUAACAACGCCGGCCCCGAAAUGGAGUGGCGGCCCGUCCGCGGCGACCUCUGCGUAGUAACAACCACUCGCACCGGGACCCGGGCGCGGCCACGCCGUAAAACACCCCACCUUCCGAAUGUUGACCUCGAAUCAGGUAGGAAUACCCGCUGAACUUAAGA
rnacentral:misc_RNA from 1 species